rnacentral:rRNA from 1 species
UACAGAGGGGGCAAGCGUUGUUCGGAAUUACUGGGCGUAAAGGGCGCGUAGGCGGCCUGUUAAGUCGAACGUGAAAUCCCCGGGCUCAACCCGGGAACUGCGUCCGAUACUGGCAGGCUUGAAUCCGGGAGAGGGAUGCGGAAUUCCAGGUGUAGCGGUGAAAUGCGUAGAUAUCUGGAGGAACACCGGUGGCGAAGGCGCAUCCUGGACCGGCAUUGACGCUGAGGCGCGAAAGCCAGGGGAGCAAAGCGGG